rnacentral:rRNA from 1 species
UACGUAGGGUGCAAGCGUUGUCCGGAAUUAUUGGGCGUAAAGAGCUCGUAGGCGGUCUGUCGCGUCUGCUGUGAAAAUCCAGGGCUCAACCCUGGACCUGCAGUGGGUACGGGCAGACUAGAGUCCGGUAGGGGAGCGUGGAAUUCCUGGUGUAGCGGUGAAAUGCGCAGAUAUCAGGAGGAACACCAGCGGCGAAGGCGGCGCUCUGGGCCGGAACUGACGCUGAGGAGCGAAAGCGUGGGUAGCAAACAGG